GAUGAACGCUGGCGGCGUGCCUAAUACAUGCAAGUCGAGCGAACGGACGAGAAGCUUGCUUCUCUGAUGUUAGCGGCGGACGGGUGAGUAACACGUGGAUAACCUACCUAUAAGACUGGGAUAACUUCGGGAAACCGGAGCUAAUACCGGAUAAUAUUUUGAACCGCAUGGUUCAAAAGUGAAAGACGGUCUUGCUGUCACUUAUAGAUGGAUCUGCGCUGCAUUAGCUAGUUGGUAAGGUCACGGCUUACCAAGGCAACUAUGCAUAGCCGACCUGAGAGGGUGAUCGGCCACACUGGAACUGGAACACGGUCCAGACGCCUACGGGAGGCAGCAGUAGGGAAUCUUCCGCAAUGGGCGAAAGCCUGACGGAGCAACGCCGCGUGAGUGAUGAAGGUCUUCGGAUCGUAAAACUCUGUUAUUAGGGAAGAACAUAUGUGUAAGUAACUGUGCACAUCUUGACGGUACCUAAUCAGAAAGCCACGGCUAACUACGUG
rnacentral:rRNA from 1 species